rnacentral:rRNA from 1 species
GUGGUAAUGCCGGAUGCUCCGGUUGGAUGCAUGUCCUUCCGGGAAAGAUCCGUCGGUAUGGGAUGGGGUCGCGUCCUAUCAGCUUGAUGGCGGGGUAACGGCCCACCAUGGCUUCGACGGGUAGCCGGCCUGAGAGGGCGACCGGCCACAUUGGGACUGAGAUACGGCCCAGACUCCUACGGGAGGCAGCAGUGGGGAAUAUUGCACAAUGGGCGCAAGCCUGAUGCAGCGACGCCGCGUGCGGGAUGGAGGCCUUCGGGUUGUAAACCGCUUUUGAUCGGGAGCAAGCCCUUCGGGGUGAGUGUACCUUUCGAAUAAGCACCGGCUAACUACGUGCCAGCAGCCGCGGUAAUACGUAGGGUGCAAGCGUUAUCCGGAAUUAUUGGGCGUAAAGGGCUCGUAGGCGGUUCGUCGCGUCCGGUGUGAAAGCCCAUCGCUUAACGGUGGGUCUGCGCCGGGUACGGGCGGGCUGGAGUGCGGUAGGGGAGACUGGAAUUCCCGGUGUAACGGUGGAAUGUGUAGAUAUCGGGAAAGAACACC